UACGAAGGGGGCUAGCGUUGCUCGGAAUUACUGGGCGCAAAGCGCACGUAGGCGGUCUUUUAAGUCGGUGGUGAAAUCCUGGAGCUCAACUCCAGAACUGCCUUCGAUACUGGAAGACUUGAGUCCGGGAGAGGUGAGUGGAACUGCGAGUGUAGAGGUGAAAUUCGUAGAUAUUCGCAAGAACACCAGUGGCGAAGGCGGCUCACUGGCCCGGUACUGACGCUGAGGUGCGAAAGCGUGGGGAGCAAACAGG
rnacentral:rRNA from 1 species